rnacentral:rRNA from 1 species
GAUGAACGCUGGCGGCGUGCCUAAUACAUGCAAGUCGAGCGAAGCGGGGACGGGUGAGUAACACGUUGAUAACCUCCUAUAAGACUGGGAUAACUUCGGGAAACCUGAGCUCAACCGGAUACUUAUCGAUGGAUCCGCGCUGCAUUAGCUAGUUGGUAAGGUAACGGUUAACCAAGGAAACGAUGCAUAGCCGACCUGAGAGGGGGAUAGGCCACACGGGAACUGAGACACGGUCCAGACUCCUACGGGAGGAGGCAGUGGGGAAUCUUCCGCAAUGGGCGAAAGCCGGACGGAGAAACGCCGCGUGAGUGAUGAAGGUCUUCGGAUCGUAAAACUCUGUUAUUAGGGAAGCGGUACCUAAUCAGAAAGCCACGGCUAACUACGUGCCAGCAGCCGCGGUAAUAC